CCUACGGGAGGCAGCAGUGAGGAAUAUUGGUCAAUGGUCGGGAGACUGAACCAGCCAAGUCGCGUGAGGGAGGAAUGCACUGCGUAUUGUAAACCUCUUUUGUAAGGGAACAAUGACUGGCACGUGUCCCCUGAUGAGUGUACCUUAUGAAUAAGCAUCGGCUAACUCCGUGCCAGCAGCCGCGGUAAUACGGAGGAUGCGAGCGUUAUCCGGAUUUAUUGGGUUUAAAGGGUGCGUAGGCGGGUUGUUAAGUUCGGUGUGAAAGUCUGGGGCUUAACCGUCGAAUUGCCAUUGAUACUGGCAGUCUCGAGUUCAGGUGAGGUAGGCGGAAUUCGUGGUGUAGCGGUGAAAUGCUUAGAUAUCACGCAGAACUCCGAUUGCGAAGGCAGCUUACCAGACCGCCACUGACGCUGAGGCACGAAAGCGUGGGUAUCGAACAGGAUUAGAUACCCCGGUAGUC
rnacentral:rRNA from 1 species